UAUUAAGGGUAAUUUGGACGUUUUAAGUCAUUCUGAUUUCCUCUCUAAUUUCCAUGUUUAAUAAUGUGUCGUUUACCUUAAACUAGUUUAAUCGUUUUGGUUUAAACCAUGUUUUGCCAAAUUGUAAUCUGAUUUGCAAUUAUAUAUUCUCUUAUACGAAACCAAACAAAAAACAGUUUAGGGUCCCAACCCCUAAAUGAAAUUAGAUAACGUCAAUGAAAAUCACAAAACCUGAACCCGUUUUUUUUUUUUGUAUAUUUGUUUUACUCUUGGAUUGAAUUCAUUAACAAUGAAAUGUUACUGACUAAACAACAUUAUGAAUGUUAAAUACAUAAAUCAAGUCAUUUCUUCCCUCUAAUCCCACAAUGUGAACAUUUCAUACAAAGAAAGGCAUUUCUUCCACCCAAUCCCUAAAUGUGAACAUUUUAAUAUAGAUAAGAACGCAGCCC
rnacentral:lncRNA from 1 species